CGGGCAAGCCAGCCUAUCGCCUUUUUUGGUAACAGAAAGGGAGGAAAGUCCGGGCAACACAGAGCACCGUACUUCCUAACGGGAAGUCCUCCGGCUUGCCGGGGGGAGCCAGUGCAACAGAGAGUAUACCGCCUGGUGGCUUUGCUGCCGGGUAAGGGUGAAAGGGUGAGGUAAGAGCUCACCGGCCCUGGUGUGAAUCAGGGCGCAUGGUAAACCUUACGGGUUGAAAGGUCAAAUAGGUUCUGCAUAUAAGGGUUGCUCGCCCGCGCGGAAUGGGUAGACCGAUAGAUCCUUUUGGUGACAAAAGGGCCAGAUAAAUGAUAGGCCAUCUAUGGGAUGAAAUCCCGACAGAGGUACAGAACCCGGCUUAUUCGCUUGCUUUUUUU
rnacentral:RNase_P_RNA from 1 species